rnacentral:rRNA from 1 species
AACGAACGCUGGCGGCAGGCCUAACACAUGCAAGUCGAGCGAGAUCUUCGGGUCUAGCGGCGGACGGGUGAGUAACGCGUGGGAAUAUGCCCUUCUCUGCGGAAUAGCCUCGGGAAACUGAGCGUAAUACCGCAUACGCCCUUUGGGGGAAAGAUUUAUCGGAGAAGGAUUAGCCCGCGUUGGAUUAGGUAGUUGGUGGGGUAACGGCCUACCAAGCCGACGAUCCAUAGCUGGUUUGAGAGGAUGAUCAGCCACACUGGGACUGAGACACGGCCCAGACUCCUACGGGAGGCAGCAGUGGGGAAUCUUAGACAAUGGGGCAACCCUGAUCUAGCCAUGCCGCGUGAGUGAUGAAGGCCUUAGGGUUGUAAAGCUCUUUCAGCUGGGAAGAUAAUGACGGUACCAGCAGAAGAAGCCCCGGCUAACUCCGUG